UACGAAGGGUGCAAGCGUUAAUCGGAAUUACUGGGCGUAAAGGGCUCGUAGGCGGCCAACUAAGUCAGACGUGAAAUCCCCAGGCUCAACCUGGGAACUGCGUCUGAUACUGGAUGGCUUGAAUCCGGGAGAGGGAUGCAGAAUUCCAGGUGUAGCGGUGAAAUGCGUAGAUAUCUGGAGGAAUACCGGUGGCGAAGGCGGCAGCCUGGACCGGCAUUGACGCUGAGGAGCGAAAGCCAGGGGAGCAAACGGG
rnacentral:rRNA from 1 species